rnacentral:miRNA from 1 species
UACCUCGCCGGCCAGGAGGAUUCCCUCCUGGUCAACGAGGCUGUACAACCUCGCCAACCAGGAGGAUUCCCUCCUGGUCAACGGUACAGCCUCGCCGACCAGGAGGAUUCCCUCCUGGUCGACGGUACAACCUCGCCGACCAGGAGGAUUCCCUCCUGGUCGACGGUA